rnacentral:lncRNA from 1 species
GCUGCCCGGGCCAGAUGAGAAAAGUAUAGUUAGCUCAGCUAAAAACAGCACAAAUGAGCAAAACCCUGCUGUUAUGGUUGAACAAGUGCCGCUAUUACUACCCCAAGCAACUGAACAAUCAGAAGGAAAUCAGCUGCUAGAAUCCAACCUGCAAUUAGAAGCAAGAUAUGGAGUCAGCAAUUGUGAACCCAUUGUCGAAGAACCAUCAUCACCAGAACCAGAAUGCCCACAAGUAACCGAAAAUGAUAUGGAGGAUGCCUUAUGUGAGGAUCCUGAUGAAAUUCCUACAAUCAAGCUUAAUAUUGAAGAGUUCACUCAAAAUUUGCAGAAUUAUAUGCAAGAAAACAUGGAACUUCAAGAAGGAGACAUGUCAAAAGCCUUGGUUGCUUUGACGGCAGAAGCUGCCUCAAUUCCCACACCCAAGCUUAAGAAUGUGAGUCAGCUGCGAACAGAGCACCACGUGUAAGUAAUCAUGCCCCUUAUUUAACUGUUAUUGAGAGAAUUUGGUAAUCCUAAAUGGUCAAAAUUCAAUCAAAUUAGGAGGGAUUAUCUUCUGGGCCUUGACCCUCUAUGGAGUUUAACCUUUUUUUGGCCUGACAAACAAACUAAAACAUACUUGAAAUUUUAGCUGCUGUUCAGAGUUGAAAACACAUUUUUUUUUUCAACAAAUUUCAGGCUAAUUAUGCUAAUGGGAAAAAUCCAUCUACUGUAUACUAAUUACUAAUUUUCCUUUCACCACCUGCAGAUAUGAACUUCCAGAUUCCCAUCCUCUUCUGCAAGGGGUUAGUUAAUUUUGAGUCCAGCUAGACAACGAUUUUUUCCCUACUCCACUAACCAAAUAACUUUCCUAAUGACUGUCUUCUGAUUCUAAUUCAGUUGGAAAGACGAGAACCAGAUGAUCCAUGCUCGUACCUUCUUGCCAUAUGGACACCAGGUAAGCUUUACAAUAUAGGCAAACCUACUUUGAUAAAUUCCUUUCUGCACAGUUAGUAACAUGAAUAAAGCCACUCAUACCUCAGGCUUGGCUCAGACCCAAAAACUUUAGUAUUCUUGACUUGGCAAUUAAACAAUCCAAGGCUCUUUUGUUUUUUUCAAUUACACACACACACACAGACAGUAGUACACAGAGAAUUGUCUAAACGCUGUAGUGCCCAGCUUUAACCAGCUUCAAAGCUUGCAAGCCUGUCAUGUUAUAUAGUCAUACCAAGUAAUCCCUAGAAAUUUCAAAACAAUAUUUGUUGAAUGGAAAGAGUUAUUUUUAGGGUAGGUAGUAAGAGGAGGAUGCAUAGGGUGCUACUUGUGGAUAUUUUUAGGAUGGAUUUCAAGAUCCUCACAAAAGUUAAUUUUGGAUGGAACAUUUUUAAGUAAGGCCAAAAAUGACCUGAAAGUAGCAAUAUUUUAGAAUUUGUUUCAGCUUAUUAGCAUUGUAGUGAUCUGUUGAAAAGAAGUCAGAGAAGACGAGUUGAUCUUACAGACAGUGACAAGCAAGUCCUACCCCCUCUUUGUCUUGGGACUUCCAAUUGAAGCCCCAAGUCCUGCUAGUUAAUGGACCUGGCUUGAAGGAAUGGAUAUUGCAUCAAAAACAGACAAGUUUCAGUAUAUGCAAAGCCCAAACAGUCCACAUGUAUUUGGCCAAUCUUACUUCAGUUUCCACCUCUAUGCAUAGGAAGCUGGAAAACUUGCGUUAUAGCAUACAAUCAACUCAUAUUCCUUGCCUAUAGUUCAGCUCAUUUCGUAUCAAUUGUUCCUAUUAGGUGAAAUGGCAAAUUCUGUUCAGCCACCUGAAAGUAGAUGCAACUCGCAAGAAUAUGGAAAACUGUGUGAUGAGAAGACGUGUUUCUCUUGCAACAGUAUACGGGAAGCAAAUUCACAAAUUGUUCGGGGAACACUUCUGGUGAGAAUAUUUAUGCAAAAACUUUCAUCAUUUUUUUGCAUGAGCACUCUUACCAACAACAGAAUCAGUUGAUGUCAGAACAAUAACCAUUUGCCUAUAACAUUUAUCCACAGAUACCAUGUCGAACAGCAAUGAGAGGAAGCUUUCCCCUCAAUGGCACAUAUUUUCAAGUUAAUGAGGUAAAAGAUUCAACCCCAAAAACUGAGAUUAUUCAGCUCCGGUCUAUGAGCUACCACAUCUUUUUAACUUCAGAAUAGUACCAACUAUAUAUUUUUGCAGGUAUUUGCUGAUCACGAUUCUAGCUUGAACCCAAUUGAUGUUCCUAGAACUUGGAUAUGGAAUCUACCAAGACGGACAGUGUAUUUUGGGACAUCAAUACCAACAAUAUUUAAAGGUAAUGCUUAUAAUGAGAUUUUAGUCCUAACAACUAGCUGAGAGUCGAUCCGUGGCACUCAAGUUUUGCCUUUGUGUAUCAGGUAUGACAACAGAAGCUAUUCAACACUGUUUUUGGAGAGGUAAGAGCAAUGCUGAUUCUCCACUUUAAUGCUAUCUUAGGUGCUUGGGUUUAAAACCUCAGCUUAAUGUCCUGCAUUUUGCAUCUUUGGCUACAGAAAAAUAUAUAAAAAAAAAAAUAGCAACAUAUGAUAACCGCAUGAAUUCUAUUCAGUACUGAAUGCUUCAUACUUCAAAUUUGAAGUUUGAAGACAAAAGGAAGAACAGAUGAUUUUGGCUGCAUUAGCCGCAUAACAAUAUAUGACCCUGAUUGCCUUAGCCUCAUCUAAGUAUUCAACAUUUCACCGACUUGGCCCACAAUAUAAACGCAUAAAAAGUGAAGGACACUAAAUUUCUUAGUAUAAAGUAUUUACUAUACUUUUUAACCAUAGUUGACUUGUUACAACUCAAGUCUCCUAACUUGACAUUGCAAAAUUUUGCAUGGCGUUAUUAUGAAAGUAUGCAAAUGUCUCAAAGUUAACAAUUUUAUCAAAAAUAUUUGGCCUCUUAUUAUCGUCUAUCCAGAACAUAAAUUAGCAAAAGUUUUAAGUGUUCCUUAAUCGUGUACACUUUAAAAACUGCAGGAUAUGUUUGUGUGAGAGGAUUCGACCAGAAGACACGGGCACCUCGUCCUUUGAUGGCCAGGCUGCAUUUUCCGGCCAGCAAGUUAAACAAGACAAGGGGCAGGGGUUCAGAUGACUAGCAUUCGAUGCCUCAAAAUACCAACAAUACUUCUGGAACGAACAGAUGACUAGAUGAUAGUUUUUCAGGCAACAAUCAAUAGCAUCACAUUCGUGUAACUUUUAAAAAGGAGAAAAUCUAGUUGAGCUGUAUGAUCCCAUAACAUAUGAGGAUGUAGCGUGUACAUGUUUAACAAGACUAAUUUGCUUAAUGUUAUGCUCGUAUUUGAGCCAUUCUUCUGAAACAAACACUAUUCCUUACUCUGGUUCGUGCACAGAAAAUCCAAAGUGCUAAUCUGAUUGUAAAAAACAAAAAGAAAAACCCAGAGUACGAGCUCCAAGAUCCAAAGCAACAGCUGCAAUUCCAGAAUAACCACAUUUCCUAAUUAAUUAGCAACAAACGCCAUGUAACAAUUCAACGAAACCUAAUUCUCUACCUAGAUAUAACUACAAUUGCAUCCUGCAACUAACCAGAAUGCAUAAAAAGCGCUGGUACUUGAAUGUUUUGCUAAGAGCCUAAGAUGCAAUUCAAAAUAUUCCAUUUUAGCCAGAUUUUCAUCAAAUCCACCAUCUUCCACUCCAAAGAGACAACGUAUAUGAAACCGAUGGCAGAAAAAAGAAAAACAUAAUUGGACAUAAAAUAGGCAAACAGAUGCACGAAAAACAGGAAAAUAAAAUCGAACAUCCAUAGAUUGGUGAUGAAAGUAGGUUUUGAGAUCAAAGAAACGUACCUUUGAUGCAAGCAGCAAGAGAGAUUGAAGUAGAGAUACAGUAGAGACGUUUUGGUGAAAGUAAUGCUUUAUCGCUUUUGCCGCCUUAGCGCCACUUUGAUCUUCCUUUUCCCUCCCAAUGCCUUUCAGUUUAAGGUAAGGUCCUCGUGUUUGAAAUAUGCGCCGUACGUGGCGAGUUUUGGGCUCUUGGUGGACUCCGCGGGCUCUAAAUGGAUAAUUUAACCAUCUUUUUUGAUACCAAACAAAGAUCUUUUUUUUUUGUCAGAAAACGAUUUUUUUAUUUAUUGUUGUUAUUAUAUAUUUUCUCCCCAAC